CAGUAGCCACGGUAAUACGUAGGUGGCAAGCGUUGUCCGGAAUUAUUGGGCGUAAAGGGCUCGCAGGCGGUUUCUUAAGUCCGAUGUGAAAGCCCCCGGCUCAACCGGGGAGGGUCAUUGGAAACUGGGAAACUUGAGUGCAGAAGAGGAGAGUGGAAUUCCACGUGUAGCGGUGAAAUGCGUAGAGAUGUGGAGGAACACCAGUGGCGAAGGCGACUCACUGGUCUGUAACUGACGCUGAGGAGCGAAAGCGUGGGGAGCGAACAGGAUUAGAUACCCCAGUAGUCCCUGUCUCUUAUAC
rnacentral:rRNA from 1 species